AGAUACCAGGGUGAAAAGAGCUGAAUCCACAUGAGCUUGCUCAUAAGUGGAUGAAGAAUCUUGGAACCCGCCCCGAUAUGAGCAUAAAAGUGGGAUGAUAAUCCCGCGAUAUGCGAAGAGAGGGUAGAAUUGCGAAAGUUACUUGGUAACGGAGCAAUUCGUAGGUAUCG
rfam:Blautia sp. CAG:237 genomic scaffold, scf224